AUGAUGCAAGGAAGGCACUCCCCUGCAAACUCUUUGCAGUCAGGCCCGCGGCUCCGCUUCCAGCUGGAGCAGCCGGCAUGAAAAGCCCCAACUUGGUCAUGAGCACUGUCCACUGAAAGUCCAGAACAGCUGGGCCUUGUUCAUCGGGGUCAGCUAAGGUUUCUGUUUCCCAGGCUCAAGAAGACAAAGGAAGGAAAGCAUAGAGCAUGUGAAGGAAAAUGCCUGAAAAGAAGCUGUGUCUAGCUGUGAACAAAAACAAACUCCUGGAAGGAACAUCUCGGUACAAUGAGGCUGACUAUGCUCGGAGAGAGUGAAUGCAGUCUGAGAGGGAUUGAGGGGUUCUGCAUUACUUGAUGAGCUCUCACAAGCCCCUCCCUCCUUUGAAGAAUGGAGCCAUUAACUCCUGGAAGAAUUGCAGCCUCACACCUCCACCCAAACACUGCAGAAAUUACCUGGAGCUGAAAAGACACACUGAGUGCUUUACCCUCAUGGAGAAACGCUGAUUUAAUGCCCAGCUGGAGCUCUGACACUUCAGGAAACAGGAGCAGGACAAAACAACCCAAACACCAGAACACAGCACUCCUGGGAGAAGAUCACGGCAGCCUGUGCUACUGAGUCAGCAUUUGACAAGCCUGAGCGAGGAAAGUGUGGGCACAUGUCCCAGGAGAAUCAGCACUUUUAAAACAGGAAAUGAUCUCCACAGAACGUCAACACACAAGUAGGUUCUGAGGCAGAUGGAGCAGAGCAAGAAGCGGAUGGCAGCAUUUCAGAGUGCCAUGCUCUUACAGGCUGUGUGUCUACCCAGAGCCCCCGAGAGCUGUCAGCAACACCUUUCCCUACUGGACUCACAGGCUCAGCAACCUCUCGCUGGGAUCCUAGGCUUCCCCCUACGCUGUCAUAGGUGGCCAGCCUGUUGUUCUGCGUCCUGAUUUUCUGUCUCUGGAUUACAGGCUCAACACCUGUAAUCCCAGCACAGGGAAAUCUGGGAUAGUAAGAUCUGUUGCAAGUUCAAGGCCAGCCUGGGCUACAAAGUGAGACCCUAUGCUCAAAAAACUUUUUUUUUCUGUAGUAGCUUCCUAUUCAUUUAAAAAUAAAAAACAUAAACAUUUUCAAAGUUGAACAUGUAAAGACAGCAUUAAGAAUAUAUGUUAUUUGAGUUGCCUGCCUUAAUGCCAUCUUUCCUGUUGCCAACUGAAUUAUUUGCUCAUAGUAAACAUUAAGAUGCACUGAGCACCUUGAAAACUGAAGUGUCCCAUGUCUGUGUCAAAGGGGUCACUGGUAAGAUGAUUUUCUUGCAGAGUCCUGGCUGAGCAAAGACCACAGGGAAUGGCUGGAGAAGAAAAAAGGGAGUUGAGCAGCCCCUUGAGGUGACAGGAACCAUGCUGAGCUGAAGAACCGCCUAGGAGGGCCUACAAAUAAAACAAUGCUGCUCUGUGCGGUGAUUAACAGUGAGGGCAUGUAAGGGUGGCGCGGACUUCCACAGACAGAGCCCAUUUUAAAAGGCCAUUUGAGCACCAUCCCUCCCUGACCUUUCGUUGUGGCCCCAGUUGGCCCCAUGCUGUCCGGGUCACCCAUCUCUAAGGUACGGUGGCCCUGCUCUAUCUGUGGCUUCGCUUUCUUGUGAACAGUCAUUAUCUAAGAAUAUACAGUAGAAAAUUCCAGAAAUGAUCAGUUAGUUCCUGGCUUCUAAAUUGUAGCCCACCUCAUGUAGUAUGAGAUUUCACACUACUCCAUCCUUUCCCAGUAAGUACAUGGGCCAUCCCUUGUCCAGUGUGUCUACCCUGUGUAGGCUAUCCACCCAUUAGUGACAUUGCCACCUCAGAUAUCAGAUCCACUGUGGCAGUAUGUCAGUGCUAGUAUCGCCACUUGCCAGCUUUAGGGAAGGCCUCAAAGUGCAAGAAUGAUACUCAUAGGAAGUCCAAUACACCAAACAGAACCUAUAGAAUGUACUUAGGUAUAGCAUGGCCUGUUGUUUCAGGCAGCCAUGAAGGGUCUUGAAGCAUCCCCCAACAGAUAGGGGAGUUGGCUGUUCUACCGGCUUUUAAAAUAUAAUGUAUGUUUGGAAAUGGGCAAGCUGUGGAGGUUUGAAUGAGAUUUCCCCUUGGCCUUAGGUAUUUGAAUGAUUGGUCCCUAGUUGGUGGAGCUGUUUGGUACAGUUUAGGAGGUACUGUUGUUGAAGGGAGUAUUUCACUGGAGGUGAGAUUUUUGUGUUUAAAGACUUACAUUAUUCCCAGUUUUCUCUCUGUCUUGUGCUUAAGGUUCAAGCAGUAAACCCCGAGCUUUUGCUGUCAGCAUCUAGCCCCUCUCUGCUGUCUCUCUGCUCCACCAUUAUGGAUUCUAGCCCUCUGGAACCUGGACCAAGAAGCCCCAACAAACUUUCUUUUUCAUAAGUUGUCUUGGUCAUAAAGUUUUACCACACUAGUAGAAAACUGACUAAUUUAGAAGUUGGUGCCAGGAUAUUGUGGUGACAGACUCUGCCAUGCUGUUUCAUAGAGAAAUAUGAAAAACAUUGGGACUUCAGAGUAGAAAAGUGAUUGACUAGGGUAAGCAGAGCUUAAUGGGCCAUCCUGGUAGGAGCUUAGAAGACAGUAGCACUGAGAGCCAUGCAGACUGCGGAGGCCCAGCUCAAGGGGCUUCAAAGGGAGCAAUAUCAGCAGCGGGGCCAGAGAUCAAUCUUAAGAUAUUUUAGCAAAAAAUAUGGCUGUCUGGUCUUAUCCUAAGAAUUUGCCUGAGUAAUGUACUAAUUUAUUUGGUGGAGGAGAGAGCAAGAUAACCUACUAUUGACUCUGUCACACAGUUAUUGUGAUCACUCCUGUGCAGAUCUACAAUGAAAAAGAGCAAGUCAGACAAAAAGGAAUACAAAAUAUACAGUUUAAUAAGAAAAAGAGCACCAGAAAUCUUAAUGUUGCAGCCAAGGCUCUCAGACAAGGAGGUUAAGAGAGGCCUGAUCUGAAUUGUAAUUAAGGGAGGGAUGCCCUCAGGGAAAGACUUCAUCCAGCUCAGCUUCCAACUUUUAAAAAGGAAAGACCUAAAGAAUUUUUCUGCUUUUAAAAAUCAACAACAAAGGGGGAAACGCUGCAAAUGUGAUCUAAGGGAGGCCAGGCUCCAUCCCAAGCAGGCAGUCAAACUUGGCAGGAUUGUCGACAUGCUUCUGGCUUUAGAGACAUGAAGAAAACACAGUGUUAUAGAAUCUUCCUCCACGGUUAAGGACUGCCACGAGGCCAGGCAUGUGGCAGAGGAGUCCCGACAUGGAGGCCCUGAAAGGCUCCUGCAUGAAGCUGUGAAAGUGAUGCAUGGAUUGCCUUGAAGACCCCCAAAAUGUUAGAGACGCCAGAUCUGUGGGUUAUCUGCCAAAGAGAGCUGCCAACAGGGAGUGGAAACAGCCCCAGGAGUAUUUGUUGCAGGCAGCAAAGCUAGAAGGGUGGAGCUAUACAAGCCUUCAUAUCCAAGACAAUGGAUAUGAAGCUACAGGAUUUGGGAUUUGCCCCGCAAAAGUUCCAUAUUGCUUUGGUCAAGUAUUUUCUCACUGUGCCCGAAUUCCUCUCUUUUGGAAUAGUAAUGUAUAUUUUGUGCCAUUAUAUGUUAGAAGUAUGUAAUUUGCUUUUUGAUUUUAUAGGGGUUUACAAUUAAGACACUGUCUUGAUUAACAGAGGAGACUUUGAAUUUUAGACUUUCAAACACUGUUGAUACUGUAAAAGACUAGGGUGUAAGAUGGACUCUCAGAGUCGUUUUGAUGCAUUUCCCUCAUGACUAAGGACAAUGAGAAUUUCUUUAAAUGUUUCUUAGCCAUUAGAUAUUCUUCUGUUGAGAAUUCGUGGUUUAGCUCUGUAUUCCAUUCUUUAUUGCGUUAUUUGGCUUAUUAGUAUUUAAUUUCUUGAGUUCUUUAUAUAUUUUUGACAUUAGCUAAAAUAAAAAACUCAAGUGACAGCACAUCUUGGUGAGGAUGUAGAUCAAGGGAAACACUUCUCCAUUGCUAAUAGGAGUGCAAACUUGUAUAACCACUUUGGAAAUCAUUCUGGUGCUUUCUCAGAAAAUUGGGAAUAGCUCUACCUCAAGACCCUAUAUCUCUCCUGGGCAUAUACUCAAAAGAUGUUCUACCAUACCACAAGGACAUUUGUUCAACUAUGUUCAUAGCAGAUUUACUCAUAAUAGCUAGAAACUGGGAACAACCCAAAUGUCCUUCAACUGAAGAAUGGAUUUAAAAAAAAAAAAAAGUGGUACAUUUACACAAUGAAAUACUACUCAGCUAUUAAAAACAAAGAAAUCAUGAAAUUUGCAGGCAAAUGGAUGAAACUAAAAAAGAUCAUCCCAAAAGUGGUAACCCAGACCCAGAAAGACACACAUGACAGGAGCCUAGCAUAACUGUCCUUUGAGAGGCUCCACCCAGCAGGGGAUCAAAACAGGUACAGGAAGUUUUAUGGAAGGGUUGGGAGAAGGAUAAAGGGACCUGGAGGGGACAAGAACUCCACAAGAAGACCAACAGAGUCAAUGAGCCUAAGCCAUGGGGACUCACAGAGACUGAAGCACCAACCAAGGAGCAUGCAUGAAUUGGACCUAUGCCUCCCUACACAUCUGUAGCUGAUAGGCAUCUUGGUCUUCAUGUGGGUCUUCCAACAACUGGGGUAAGGACUCUCUCUGACAUGGACUCUGUUACCUGCUAUUGGAUCACUUCCCCCUAGCUGGGCUGCCUUGUCUGGCCUCAGUGGAAGAGCAUGCACUUAGUCCUGAUGUGACUUAUGUGAUGGGGUGGGUUGGGGAGAGGCUCCCCUUUUCAGAAGAGAAAGGGGGAGAAUGAGGCAAGAGGGGAAAGAGUGAGACUGGGAAAAGAGGAGGAGAGGGCUUCGAUCAGGAUAUAAGUUAAUAACUUAAUUAAUGAGGAAAAAAGACUUGGGACUUUUGAAAUUGAACUAAAUGUAUUUGCACUGGAAGGUGGCCAUGAGAAUAUGGGGGUCAGUAAGUUAAUAUGUGGUCUGAGUGAGAAUCUCCCCCAUUGCCUAAAGGAAUUUGGAUACUUGGUCCCCAGGAUAGUCCUCAGCUGUUUAGGGAGGCAUAGAAGGCAUGAUGGUCAUGGACUCUUAUCCAUCUAGAACCAUAAGCUCAAAUAAACUUUUUCUUACAUAGGCUGCCUUGGUCACGAUAUUUUAUUACAGCAAUAGAAAAGUAACUGAUAUAUUACCAAAAUAUCGACUGCAAGUAAAAAGACAGUCAAUCUCCUAAUGUUUAUAGGAAGCAAGAAAUGAUCCCUGGUGGGGAGGAUAGCAAGGCUCCAGUUAGAGCUCUAGGAGGAGCUGCAUGAGCAAGAAGUAAUAAUACCACGGGUAGUUACAAAUGCUUGAGUUUACUGGAUCCAGCAUAAUACAACCAUGCUAUUACUUGGUUUUAAGUGUGUGUAGUUGUGCAUGAGCAUUUAAACAAGAAAGCUAUGUUUCCUCUUCAUUUUAGUUACUAGAGUAUUGGGAAGUACAUGUUGUGUGAGGUGGAAGGUAGGAAUUCAAUUUAUUUAAUUUUUUAAUAUGGAGAACAAAUAGCUCAAACCAAUAGUUACUUAAUAAAAGUCCACCCCUCACCCCAUCCCACCCCAUCCACCAUUCAAAACAUCAAUAGGUAUAACUUUCUUUCAGGGAUUCAUUUGUCUGUAUUAUCUUGGCACCCAUACUACACUCUUGGUCAUUCAUGUGUUCGAUUACUACUUAUACAGUGUCUGGUGGAUGCCAGGAAGUAUUCUAAGUACUUGGAGUAUAUGAACUAAGAAACAGACCCGAUCUUACCCUUUUCUAGGGUACAGAUUUCAGUUGAUAAAUACAAACAAACACAAAAAAUUCAAUAACUAGAUGAUGCAGAGAGGGUUAGAAAAGAAUUUCAAAAAGAAGAGCAGACCCACAUCAGGGUGAUCAGUGGAGACAGCAAUUUAACUGCACUCAAAGUGGGUCCUAAAGAGAUGCUGACCUCAAACAGAUGUCAUGGCAGUGGGUCAAUCAUUGAGAUGCCUGACUGAAGUCUCAAGUACCACCAACAAGUCUGCCACACUGAAGGAAACUGUGUGGCUUGAAUGACAUGAAGGAUGACAUAGGUUCCCACACAGGAGAGGCCGAUCAGGUACAGCCCUGACAGAUGGGUGAUAUGAGGACCUGGAAUUUUAUCUGAGAGAGAUGGCCAGAUGCUGGUGAGUGCCGAGCAGGGACCGCAUGAGGAAUCUCCAGCUGUUCUCUAUAUAGAACAGACAGAACGAGAGAGACACAGAGAAUGGGUAGGAAGCUGGUUGUGAGGUGGGAGAUUCUGGUAGUGAAGAUCAGUUAGUGGCAGAAACAGGAGCCAUGACUGACUCUGUAAUAUACACAUAUAUUCCAUACACAUAAAUGUAUGUAUUUGUGUAGCUUGUAUGUGUACAUGUACAUAUGUGUGUCCAUGUGUAUGAGGCCAGAUGUUGACAUCAAGUGUUUUCCUCAGUUGCUCCUCACCUUAGUGUUUUGAGACAGGGUCUCUCACUGAGCGUGGAGCUCAUAGGUUGAGUUAGACUGGUUGGCCAAGGAGCUCCACCAGCCUCUGCCUCCCCAGCCCUACGGUUACAGGCAUGCCCCACCACACCUGAGCUUUACAUGGAUUCUGAGGAUUUGAACUCCAGCCUCAUGGUUGCAAGACAAGAACUUACCUGCCUGAGCAUCUCCCCAGGCCUUGGAAUAUAUUUUGAAGACAGUUAGAAAGAAGGGAAGCAGAUGAGAGAGAGAGAUGGAGGAAGAGAGAGGGAGAGCGCUAGGGCUAACUCAUAUUGCUAGUUUGCAUGGAGAGCACUAAACUGAGACCAGGUGUAUCAGGAAAGAUCGAGGGCGCUGAUCAUCCUCCCUUAAUGAGUCCUGAUACCUGACAGAGUGAAUCUCAUUACCUUACUCCUCAAAGUUUUCAUUGCUACUCUGGUCCUUUAAUAUUCCCAGUUUAGUUUAAUAUCAGCUUGUCACAUUCCAUAAAAAUGCCCUCCAAAGAUUUUGGCUAGAACUGUGUUAAACUUAUAGGUUAAUUUUAAAGUUUUGGCAUGUUAAUAAUGUUGAGUCUUUCUAUCACAGAAGUCUAAUAUUGCUUUCCAUUUGUGUAAAAAAAAUGUUGGAUAUUCUUUGACACCAUGAUACAG